rnacentral:rRNA from 1 species
UACAGAGGUCCCAAGCGUUGUUCGGAUUCACUGGGCGUAAAGGGUGCGUAGGUGGUGAGGUAAGUCGGAUGUGAAAUCUCCAAGCUCAACUUGGAAACUGCAUUGGAAACUACCUUGCUAGAGGAUUUGAGGGGGAUUGGAAUACUUGGUGUAGCAGUGAAAUGCGUAGAUAUCAAGUGGAACACCAGUGGCGAAGGCGAAUCCCUGGAAAUACCUGACACUGAGGCACGGAAAGCUAGGGGAGCAAACAGG